CCUACGGGGCGCAGCAGUGAGGAAUAUUGGUCAAUGGGCGGGAGCCUGAACCAGCCAAGUCGCGUGAGGGAUGACGGCCCUAUGGGUUGUAAACCUCUUUUGCCGGGGAGCAAAGUGCCGCACGUGUGCGGUUUGGAGAGUACCCGGAGAAAAAGCAUCGGCUAACUCCGUGCCAGCAGCCGCGGUAAUACGGAGGAUGCGAGCGUUAUCCGGAUUUAUUGGGUUUAAAGGGUGCGCAGGCGGCCUGUUAAGUCAGCGGUAAAAGCCCGGGGCUCAACCCCGGCGAGCCGUUGCAACUGGCGGGG
rnacentral:rRNA from 1 species